rnacentral:rRNA from 1 species
AGAGUUUGAUCAUGGCUCAGAAUCAACGCUGGCGGCGUGCCUAACACAUGCAAGUCGAACGGGAAGGGGGGCUUCGGCUCCCCGGAGAGUGGCGCACGGGUGAGUAACACGUGGGUAAUCUGCCUUUGGGUGGGGAAUAACGAUCCGAAAGGGUCGCUAAUACCGCAUAACGCAGCGGCACCGCAUGGUGACAGUUGUUAAAGCGGGGGAUCGCAAGACCUCGCGCCUGAAGAGGAGCCCGCGUCCGAUUAGCUAGUUGGUGAGGUAACGGCUCACCAAGGCUUCGAUCGGUAGCCGGCCUGAGAGGGCGGUCGGCCACACUGGCACUGAGACACGGGCCAGACUCCUACGGGAGGCAGCAGUGGGGAAUUUUGGGCAAUGGGCGCAAGCCUGACCCAGCAACGCCGCGUGAAGGACGAAAUCCCUCUGGGAUGUAAACUUCGAAAGUCAGGAAAGAAAUCCGCGUGGAUAAUACCCGUGCGGGAUGACGGUACCUGACGUAAGCCCCGGCUAACUACGUGCCAGCAGCCGCGGUAAUAC